rfam:Gossypium arboreum cultivar AKA8401 contig_4384_9, whole genome shotgun sequence.
AUCCCAUGAUGAGGAAACUUACGAAGUAACUCUUUGAAUUGCUCCCAAACCUCAUACAAAUACUCGUCAUCCAAUUGUUGGAAAGUUGUGAUCAAGUUCAUCACCUU